GAUGAACGCUAGCGGCAGGCCUAAUACAUGCAAGUCGGACGGGAUCUAUCGGAGAGCUUGCUCGAAGAUAGUGAGAGUGGCGCACGGGUGCGUAACGCGUGAGCAACCUACCCAUAUCAGGGGGAUAGCCCGGAGAAAUCCGGAUUAAGACCGCAUAACACUGUGAUUUGGCAUCAUGUUACAGUUAAAUAUUUAUAGGAUAUGGAUGGGCUCGCGUGACAUUAGCUAGUUGGUGAGGUAACGGCUCACCAAGGCGACGAUGUCUAGGGGCUCUGAGAGGAGAAUCCCCCACACUGGUACUGAGACACGGACCAGACUCCUACGGGAGGCAGCAGUAAGGAAUAUUGGUCAAUGGGCGGAAGCCUGAACCAGCCAUGCCGCGUGCAGGACGACUGCCCUAUGGGUUGUAAACUGCUUUUGUCGAGGAAUAAACCUAUCUACGUGUAGAUAGCUGAACGUACUCGAAGAAUAAGGAUCGGCUAACUCCGUGCCAGCCGCCGCCGUAA
rnacentral:rRNA from 1 species